CAACUUUACACAACGGAUCUCUAGGCUCUCGCAACGAUGAAGAACGCAGCGAAAUGCGAUACGUAAUGUGAAUUGCAGAACCCGUGAAUCAUCAAAUCUUUGAACGCACAUUGCGCCCCCUGGCAUUCCGGGGGGCAUGUCUGUUUGAGAACCUUG
rnacentral:rRNA from 1 species